rnacentral:rRNA from 1 species
UGGGGAAUCUUGCACAAUGGGCGAAAGCCUGAUGCAGCAACGCCGCGUGCGGGAAGAAGGCCCUCGGGUUGUAAACCGCUUUCAGAAGGAACGAAACUGACGGUACUUUCAGAAGAAGGUGCGGCCAACUACGUGCCAGCAGCCGCGGUGACACGUAGGCACCAAGCGUUGUCCGGAUUUAUUGGGCGUAAAGAGCUCGUAGGCGGUUCAGUAAGUCGGGUGUGAAAACUUUGGGCUUAACCCAAAGCGUGCAUCCGAUACUGCUGUGACUUGAGUACGGUAGGGGAGCGGGGAAUUCCUAGUGUAGCGGUGAAAUGCGCAGAUAUUAGGAGGAACACCGGUGGCGAAGGCGCCGCUCUGGGCCGAAACUGACGCUGAGGAGCGAAAGCAUGGGUAGCAAACAGGAUUAGAUACCCGGGUAGUCCCUGAGCGGGCUGGCAAGGCGCAU